UACGAAGGGGGCUAGCGUUGUUCGGAAUCACGUGGCGUAAAGCGCACGUAGGCGGAUCUUUAAGUCAGAGGUGAAAUCCCAAGGCUCAACCUUGGAACUGCCUUUGAUACUGAGGAUCUUGAGUUCGGGAGAGGUGAGUGGAACUGCGAGUGUAGAGGUGAAAUUCGUAGAUAUUCGCAAGAACACCAGUGGCGAAGGCGGCUCACUGGCCCGAUACUGACGCUGAGGCACGAAAGCGUGGGGAGCAAACAGG
rnacentral:rRNA from 1 species